AAGAGAAUAGGGAAUAUGGGGAGAGAUGCAGGUGGAACUUUAAAGGAACCUAUUUUGGUGUCCAUUGUUGAUGCUUGUUCAACUGAAAAUGUAGAGAGCUGAGCCACACAGCAGUUGAGGAUGAUAGUGCAAGCAAAUAUUGAACUGCAUUAUUUAGAAACUUGAGACUCUCUGAUGGUUCAUCCACAACAUCUGUUGAAUCUCUUCCUUUUGCAUUCUGUUUAGCUUCUUUUCCAUCAAGAGCUGGACUCAUCGCCAUACUCGCUAUCGAGUUUCGUGAGUUCGGGCUAACACAGCAACCGAACGUUGCAGCUACUAAGACCUGAUGAUCAGUCAAAACACCAAAAGCUGAUUCAGUAUUUUGUUGCGGUAAAGAGGGGAGCCUGCAAAGAAGACAACCAUGGACAAGAAUAUGCUGAGCAUUGAAAUUCCAAAGCCCCACUCCCACCCUUUGUUGUCUUCGACCCACACCACCAAUGUGACUGCAAUAAGCCCACCACAUGACAGACAAAACACGAAGUAGUUGAAGAAAGUGGAUCUCCUUUUCCUGCCCUGUGGGUUACUGUCAUCAAACUGCUCAGCCCCAUGCGACGGCAGCGACCCCUUUAUGCCACCGACGCCCAACGCCACCAGAUAUAGCCCGGCAAACAACAUGGCUGCUUUUCCACCACUCGCUUCUUGGCACAUGGCGGUGUGGUUUGCUUGAUGAUCGCAUGGAGGAGGCUUCAGCGAUGGCAUCUUUGCUUGUAUCACCAAUAUUGCCAACCCCUGGUCAAAUGCUUGGCUUUAGACUUGGCUACUGAAGAAAAUUAGUGUACUGUUUUCUUCAACUUUUACAAUGAGUGUGUAUCAUUGGGUGGGGCCCGACCCAAAUAGAAGGGGUACCCAAAUAUGAUAUGCCAAUAAAGAAAUUGCAAUGAUAGGGUGGUUGGUUGUAGUUAGAGCAAAUGCAAUCGGCCACGUGUCAGUACUUUACAAUCCAUACUCUCUAUCAGAAAAUGCACUGUCACAAAUGUGGACACACUUGGUGCCACGUGUUUGAUUUC